ACCAAUACAUACCGUGUGACAACAUAAGAGAACUUUGGUGACUAGCACGUCUGGCCAGUCAGACCAUCAGCACUGGAGUCCUUCAGGUUUUAUAAGCUUUUAAACCUCAGGGCUACGUGACUAGUGCCCAUUCUUCAAUGAAACUGCCUAUCAUCAGCAUAAUUACUCAUCAGUUGCAGGUUACAUAACAAAGUCUUGAUAAUAAUGAAGAACAGGUGCUUGGUCUGAUACACAGUUACCUC
rnacentral:lncRNA from 1 species